rnacentral:rRNA from 1 species
CGACGCUGGCGGCGUGCCUAAUACAUGCAAGUCGAGCGGAGUUUUCAUCUGGAAGCCUUCGGGUGGAAGGGUGAAAACUUAGCGGCGGACGGGUGAGUAACACGUGGGCAACCUGCCCGUAAGACGGGGAUAACUAGCGGAAACGUUAGCUAAUACCGGAUAGUCCUCAUGGGCGCAUGCCUGAGAGGGGAAAGGCGGAGCAAUCUGCCGCUUACGGAUGGGCCUGCGGCGCAUUAGCUAGUUGGUGAGGUAACGGCUCACCAAGGCGACGAUGCGUAGCCGACCUGAGAGGGUGAUCGGCCACACUGGGACUGAGACACGGCCCAGACUCCUACGGGAGGCAGCAGUAGGGAAUCUUCGGCAAUGGACGAAAGUCUGACCGAGCAACGCCGCGUGAGUGAGGAAGGUCUUCGGAUCGUAAAGCUCUGUUGCCAGGGAAGAAGGGCGAGGAGAGUAACUGCUCUUCGCUUGACGGUACCUGAGAAGAAAGCCCCGGCUAACUACGUG